GACUGACUGACUGAGGGACUGACUGACUGAGAGACAGACUGACUGACUGAGGGACUGACUGACUGACUGACUGACUGACUGAGAGACUGACUGACUGAGGGACUGACUCACUGACUGAGGGACUGACUGACUGACUGAGGGACUGACUGACUGAGGGACUGACUGACUGAGAGACUGACUGACUGAGGGACUGAGUGAGAGACUGACUGACUGACUGAGGGACUGACUGACUGAC